UUUCCUCACCUGUUAAAUAAGGAGGAUGGCCUGUCAGUGUCUCAGUCAUGGAAGGGUCAGAGAUCUAUUUUAACUCAUACCUGAACAAGAAUUUUCAAUUAAAAUUGAAGUGUACUAUAUCACAGCAUUCUUCUCGAAAGAACUCACCUGGAAAUAUUGAGAGGAAACUUCUGCAUAGCAAGAUUCAUGCAUCUGAAACCUACAGACCAAACAGGAGCAUAUUAAUGAAGUUUUUCAGUGUUUGUUAAUCACUGAUGGCAUGCUUUGGAAGUGCUCAAAACAAAGCUUCUAUCCACAGUUGCUGUUUCUGCUCUCUUCGGACCAAAACUCGAGAUUCAAUCUCCCACCAGAAGCACAAAUGCCCUGUACUACAUCCCUCCAAAAUGAUCAUCCAUCUGCCUUUGAAAGACGCCAGUGAAG